AAGACUUUAAGUUAAACAAACUAAUAUCCUUCAAAGUUAUUAAUAAAGCAUAUUUACUCGUCUUUAAGUCUUA
rnacentral:tRNA from 1 species